UCCGCCGGAAGUAGCUAACAUGUUUUGUUUAUGUGCGGUUUGUUUUUUCAGGCGGGAGUAACAGUUUGUGGUUGCACUUUUUACCAAAAGAAGCAUAAGUUUCUUAAUGAACAGUGCUAUAAACCAAGCCCGUGCACAGAGGGGUGGUGUCCCGGUGCCUAGAGCCACUCAUCUGCCCUCAUCGGCUGAGGUGUCCCUCUCCCCCACCCCACCAAAGCGUUCUGUUAAUCCUGACUCUGAUAAUCCACUCCGUGUUUUCUCCCCCGCUCAGCAUCACUCACAAUCCGUGUGAAGAGAUUUUCCGAAGGUCGCUGCAUGAACAGGAUGUGCCCUGGAAUGUGUAAGAACUGGAAUGUCAAGCAAGAAUGAGCAGGAAGGUGACACGGUGACUUUACUCCAUACCCUACUAUUAAAAGACAAAUACACUAUAUGGAAAAACGUAUUGGGACACCUGACUUUUCCAGCUAUAUGUAGUAAAUUUCUACACUGUUAGCACAGCAGGAUGACAUCACUGGAGGAAAGCUUGAAGACAGACGUGUGUGAGGGGGGUGUAGACGGAGAGGUGGAGCAAAGCAAGGAAGUGCUGCACAAUGCUGACAUCAGACUGUUCACUGCAUCCAUUCACUGCACAAGCACAAUUUGGCUCCUUUAUAUUAUAUCUAUCAGAUGUGGGUGUGCUGAAGAACGUGUCCAACUCCAGCAGCAAAACAGGCAGAAUACCGUCCAAUAACGCCAAACCCUCCCAGGAACAGCGCAGUCCUCUACAGACACAAAGUAAGAAUCAGAGCCAGUGUUUAAG